UGGCUCAGUGGUAGAGUGCUUGCCUUGCAUGCAUGAGGCCCUGGGUUUGAUUUCUCAG
rfam:Dipodomys ordii contig_76229, whole genome shotgun sequence.